GUGGGUGGAGGUGGGGCGAGUCUCCGGGUGGGUGUGAACCUGUGUGUGUGCGCAUGUGUCAGUGAUAGAGGGACUCCGUGUGUGUCAAUGUCAGUCUCUGUGUGUGAGCACGUGUGUGUGUGAUGGGAGUCUCUGUGUGGAUAAAUGUGUGUGAGUGUGUGCGAGUGUCUUGUGCGCGUGUGGGUUUCUGUGUCGUCUGUGUGUGUGUGUCCGGGUGUGUGAUUGUGACACGGGCUGACACGAGCCUGAAGCCACACCUUGAACCUCCAUCACCAGCCCCCGCAGUCCCGGAGGUGAAACAGAUCUGAUCCCCGCGGAGCCCGGCUCGGCUCCCCCCCCCCCAAGUCCCUGCCCCUCCCGGGGAUGCAUCAGGAACGGCGGGGAGGGAGGAGGGGGGAUCCCGGCGGCGCGCGAGGACCGAGGAGGGAGCGUGGGCCCCACGGGCUGCAGCCCCCGCGGUCCCCACCAGGGGGCGCUCCGGGGACGGCUGGUUAGAGCCUCGCGUUGGGUCGAUGGCGCUUCCCGAGCUCGCAGGUGCGCCGGGUGCGGCCGGAUUCAGCUCCGAAGUGGGGAGUGGGGGACACAACAGUGACAGCAAGAGCGACUAUAACUAUUAUUUAUACAUCUCUUCUUACUUACCACACGUGCAAUCAUUGUUUUAACGCAAGUUUAGGCGCUCUUCUUGUGAACAUUUUACAGACGGGGAAACUGAGUCAGGGUCACACAGCGCUGGAAUCGGACCCCAGGCGGUCCAGCGUGACUCGAAUCACGUCCAUGUGACCCCAGAGUCUGUGACUGGCCCCCCUCUUUGCUGUCUCCCCAAAGUCUGGGCAAGAGGAAAGCCAGAUGUGGAGGAGCGCGGGCCAGGCUGAGCUGGGGCAGAUCAGGAGGGGUCUGAGGCGCCUGGAUGGGCACAGUGCACCGUUCUGGGGCCCGCAGUGGUCUGUCCACAACGUCCUCUCGCCGCAAUCACGGUCUGGGGGUGGGGGCGGGUCUGGAAGCGACGGCCGCUGAUUAAUAACCUGAGUCAGACCGCAGCGCUGCGGGGCUCGCUGGGCGCCGGGCCCCCUCUAAGCGCGAGCGCGCCGCAGCCUCGCCCACCGUCCCGAAGACGCCGAGAGAACACGAUCCCCAUUUUCAGAUAAAUGCUGAUUUGGAGUCAAAACCCCGGUUUUCUGAGGCUACCGCCUUGAAAAUCCUGCUGAGUGUGACCCACAAUCCCAGAGGCAUCCACGGGCUGAAUCUGCGGACUGGGCCCUGCAGGCACCAUUUAGGUCCUCCUUGCUUUAAAAAUAGUGGUCAUUCUUGCUGCCAUCUCUGAGUCACCAAAGUGUCCACCCACCUCUGAGCCCUCAGCGGAUGCUCACGCUGCGGUCCGGAGGGCGGAGAUGGUCGUGUCCACACUGGUGCGGGGACAGACUCAGACUCCGGGUCUCUUCUCUGCUAGUCGCCGCCAGAGGGUGCACUGUGCGAACCGUCUCCAAAAUGUCACGAUCCGUUCUUCCCCUCCCUGCGUGCGCCUGUGCUGCUCCCAUCAGGAGGUGAAGUCUGUUUUCCCUCUGCUGCAAUCUGGAUUGGCCUUAUGACUUGGUUUGACCGAUAGAAUUCAGCGCAAAUGGCGUUGUGCAGGUUCCAGGUGUAGCCCUUAAGAGACAGGCAGCUUCCUCUUCCUUCCUUUUAGAAGCCAGUUCCCAUCGAACUGAGAGGUUCCCACAAGAAGUCCUACUCCCCUGAUACCGCCAUGAAGUGAGGAAGCCCAAGCCAGCCACGUGGCCAGGCUGUGUGAGGAAAGAGAUGCGAGGCAGUCCCCAGCCAUUGUAACCAUCUCAUGUGAGGUGCCAGCCAUAAGUGCAGGAAUUAUGGAAAUUAAGAAAAGCAAGCUUAACUAAAUUGGAGUCAGGAAGGCCUGUAGGAGGAGCUCUUGCCCCCAUCACACAUGGUCACUUACACCAAACGGGAAGAGGCGCACUUGCAUCUUGGACAGGAAGUAAAACUACUUUGCUACUGAAGGAAGAUUUCUCUCCCCACCUGCAACAGCUCAGCCAAUGAGAAACGCCACAGCCCAGCCAAUGAGAAACGCCACAGCCCAGCCAAUGAGAAACAUCACAGCUCAGCCAAUGAGAAACGCCACACCUCAGCCAAUGAGAAACACUGCAGCUCAGCCAAUGAGAAACACUGCAGCUCAGCCAAUGAGAAGCUGUUGCUGCCCUGAAAUGCUACUUUCCCCUAAUGGACUUACAUUUAAAACAGCCCCGCCUGUCUCCCCAUUUUUUUCUACAAAGGCAGCUCCCCUCUUUUGUUUUCUGGAUUUGCCUAUGGUUCCCAUAGAAUGCACACCCUGCAUUGCGAUUCUUUUGGCUGUUCCCAAAUAAACUCAUUUUGAGAUAAAAUGGGCAAAUUUGCUUUUUAAUUUGACAGAACUAUCUGGACAUUUCUUGUCCAGUGGAGGCCCAUGAAGCAGCAGAGCCACCCGGCUCAACCCAGCACAGGCUGCAGAAUCAACAGGAAUAAUACACUAUCAUUGUUUUAAGCCACAAAGUUUUGGGGGCAAAACUUCCAUGAGGGCAGGAAUUUUUGUCUUUGUCCCUAUGCCCCAAGUACUAGAACAGGGCGUGGCACGCAGUAAGUGUUCAGUAAACAUUUGUUGCUCAGCCCAGUCUCCUCUCCUUACUAUUUAGUACAGGACACAUGGG
rnacentral:lncRNA from 1 species